rnacentral:rRNA from 1 species
UACGUAGGGCGCAAGCGUUGUCCGGAAUUAUUGGGCGUAAAGAGCUCGUAGGCGGUCUGUUGCGUCCGCUGUGAAAACCCGGGGCUUAACCCUGGGCUGGCAGUGGAUACGGACAGACUAGAGGUAGGUAGGGGAGAAUGGAAUUCCCGGUGUAGCGGUGAAAUGCGCAGAUAUCGGGAGGAACACCGGUGGCGAAGGCGGUUCUCUGGGCCUUACCUGACGCUGAGGAGCGAAAGCUAGGGGAGCAAACGGG